GACAGAGGGUGCAAACGUUGCUCGGAAUUACUGGGCGUAAAGGGCUCGUAGGCGGCCAACUAAGUCACACGUGAAAUCCCCAGGCUUAACCUGGGAACUGCGUGUGAUACUGGAUGGCUUGAAUCCGGGAGAGGGAUGCAGAAUUCCAGGUGUAGCGGUGAAAUGCGUAGAUAUCGUGAGGAAUACCGGUGGCGAAGGCGACUACCUGGCCUGUUUCUUGACGCUGAGGCGCGAAAGCUAGGGGAGCAAACGGG
rnacentral:rRNA from 1 species